rnacentral:rRNA from 1 species
CUACGGAGGAUGCGAGCGUUAUCCGGAUUUAUUGGGUUUAAAGGGUGCGCAGGCGGGCGAUUAAGUCAGCGGUGAAAGGCUCGGGCUCAACCGGAGCAGUGCCGUUGAUACUGGUUGUCUUGGAUGCGGUCAAGGCCGGCGGAAUGUGGCGUGUAGCGGUGAAAUGCAUAGAUAUGCCACAGAACACCGAUAGCGAAGGCAGCUGGCCGGGCCUGCAUUGACGCUCAGGCACGAAAGCGUGGGGAUCGAACAGGAUUAGAUACCCUGGUAGUCCACGCUGUAAACGAUGGACACUCGUUGUCGGCGACAGACAGUCGGCGGCCAAGCGAAAGUGAUAAGUGUCCCACCUGGGGAGUACGGUCGCAAGGCUGAAACUCAAAUGAAUUGACGGGG